CCGAGUGAAAACUCCCAAACCCCAUGUGAACCUUACCUAUCGUUGCUUCGGCGGCCCGAAUCUCGCGGCCGCCGAAGACCCCAAACCCUCAUGUUUUUAGUGGUUUUCUCCUCUGAGUGACACAUAAACAAAUAAGUAA
rnacentral:misc_RNA from 1 species